rnacentral:rRNA from 1 species
UACGGGGGGAGGAAGCGUUGUUCGGAUUUACUGGGCGUAAAGGGCGCGUAGGCGGCCACCGCAAGUCGACUGUGAAAUCUCCGGGCUUAACCCGGAAAGGUCAGCCGAUACUGCGGGGCUAGAGUGCAGAAGGGGCAACUGGAAUUCUCGGUGUAGCGGUGAAAUGCGUAGAUAUCGAGAGGAACACCUGCGGCGAAGGCGGGUUGCUGGGCUGACACUGACGCUGAGGCGCGAAAGCUAGGGGAGCGAACGGG